GUGGGACUUGAUCCUGGGACUCCAGGAUCACACCCUGGCCUGAAGGCAGGCACUAAACCGGCACUGGUCUCUCCUUCCCAUAGCAGGACCAUGGACACUGCUUGUUUCCCCAAUUCCCUAAGCCUGUGCUGUGGCUGAGAAGUCUGAGGUGUGUGCACUGCCCUCUCCCUGAGCAGCCCCAACACAAGAUCCUGAAAACACUUCAGAGCCAUAAAGGUAAAAUGAGUGUUUUGUUAUUAAUGAAGGUGAUUUUUCCUUUCCAAACCCACCCAAGGUUCAGAGGCAAUUUGCCAGGAGGAGCAAUCACAUGAUGAACUUUCAGUCCCUAUCCUUAGUCCCCCACCUCCAGGGAAUGAGAGGGGCUGGAAGGUUGCAUCAGCUAAUGGCCAAUGACUUGGCAAUCAUGACUGUAAUAAAGCCUUCAUAAAGACCCAAGAGGACAUGUCUUUUGGUCAUUUUGGAGAGGUUUCACACUUGGAGAACCGGAACAUUUCUGUGUGUCAGGCCCUAAGCUCCAUGAGAACAAAAGGACCUCAUUGAAUGAUGUAAGAAUUCUCGAGAUGGGUAGUCUUAAUGGUUGCACAACAAUGUAAAUGUACUUACUGCCACUGAAUUGUACACUUAAAAUGGUUAAAAUGGUAAAUUUUUAUUAUGUAUAUUUUAUUAUAAAAAUGUUAAAAUAAUUAUUACUCAAAGAUGACUUUCUAAAAUGUUAGAAAUGGAUUUUAAUUUUUGAAAUAAACCUGUUUUAUUUUUAGAAAA